UAGUGGCGCACGGGUGCGUAACGCGUGGGAAUCUGCCCUUCGGUUCGGAAUAACAGUUAGAAAUGACUGCUAAUACCGGAUAAUGUCUUCGGACCAAAGAUUUAUCGCCGAGGGAUGAGCCCGCGUAGGAUUAGCUAGUUGGUGAGGUAAAAGCUCACCAAGGCGACGAUCCUUAGCUGGUCUGAGAGGAUGUCCAGCCACACUGGGACUGAGACACGGCCCAG
rnacentral:rRNA from 1 species